GUACACGCUGUGACUAGCAUAUCAAUAAGCGGAGGAAAAGAAACUAACAAGGAUUCCCCUAGUAACGGCGAGUGAAGCGGGAAGAGCUCAAAUUUGAAAUCUUAAAGGGUUUCCCUUUACGAAUUGUAGUUUAAAGAAGUGUUUUCUGUUGAGGUUUUGGUAAAAGUUCUUUGGAAUAGGACAUCAUAGAGGGUGAGAAUCCCGUAUUUGACCUUUACUUUCAACUUUGUGAUACACUUUCAAAGAGUUGGAUUGUUUGGGAAUGCAGUCCAAAAUGGGUGGUAAAUUUCAUCUAAAGCUAAAUAUUGGCGAGAGACCGAUAGCGAACAAGUACCGUGAGGGAAAGAUGAAAAGAACUUUGAAAAGAGAGUUAAACAGUACGUGAAAUUGUCAAAAGGGAAGCGUUUGACACCAGUGUUGUUUUUCUGAAAAUCAAUUAAAGAACUGUUUAUGCUAAGCUGUUUAGACUUUAUCAGCUAUCUGUUUAGUUUUGAGCUUUUCUUUAAUGCACUUUUCAGUUAACAAGUCAACAUCAAUUUCUUUUGCUGUAAAAAAGCUUGAGGAAGGUGGCUUGAGAUUCGUCUUAAGUGUUUAUAGCCUCUUGCCUAUGCAGUCGGAGAGAUUGAGGUCUGCAGCGUAGAUCCUUCGGGGCUAAAUGCAUUUGUGCUAAGUUAUAGCAUUUUAUAGACAACUUGUUGACUAUGAUUUGUCUUGUAGCUUACCCGCUUAUGUUAUUUUACCUACGCUUAGGAUGUUGAAGAUGUAGCACAUCAU
rnacentral:rRNA from 1 species